AUGAGGAAGACAGCCCUAGAGUCCUCAUCUUAUCCACUGUCUUCUGACCUCACUGCAAAGCUUGCUACCACUCCACAUGUCAUCUUAUUUCUGCCAGGCCUGGGCCUUAUUUUCUACCCUUCUUUUCCACUCUCUGAGGAAAUCCCAGAAGCCAUUCAGCAGUGCAGCACAUUGGUUUCUACACAAAAAUGGAAGCUGGAAGCCAGUUGUCCUUCCUGGGAUCACAGCUACACCACUUUUCUCAGCAUAUUCUGCAGUUUUGGAAGCCUUUUCUGUCUGAGAACUUAUCUGAGGAAGUGGAGACAAUUUGGUGAAACAAGCACAGAAAUUAAAGCGAGUAACAUCAAAGAAAAAUACCAUCAGAGUUAUGCGGGUUUCUUUUUAAUUGAAAUUUAUAAUUGCUCUUAAUUAUAGGACAUACAUUAAAUGUUACUUUAAGAGGCUGAGGGUGGGGGUGGAGCCUGGUCCACUCUAGCCCCAUGAGCUAUAACCUUGACAUUUUAAUUAGAUAUUAUUUUGAAAUAUGUAAAAGUGAUUUACAUACUCAUGGCAAGGGUCAGCUGCCAACAUCCCGGGAGAGUCUUCUCACAUCUCUCUUCCUCUAACACAGGUAAUGUCCCCUGUCAAAGGGCCAUUUCACCUCCCUGUCAAAGGGGAAACACAUCAUUGGGCAAUUUGCCCAAGACAAACUGAUGCACAGUUUUAAAAAUAACCAACGUCUCAAAGGAACAGUAGAAAUUCUUAAGAGAGGUGAAAGCAACAAAAUAUGUCAGCCUUGUGUACACAUUCAGGUUUUCUAAGGAUUCCUCUGGGCAAAACUUCUUCUUCAUAGCAAUCCAGUGGCGGUGGCAGUGGAUGAACAGACAAAGGGAAGUGGGUCCAGUUGAUUUAUGGGCCACACACACCCAUCCUGCAGAUAAAAGGGAUGUGAGAGGAGAGUCGGGAAUCUUCUCUUGUGCCAUAUUACUUGACUGUAGGCGGAUGAUUAAAACCAACCCUUAAGUCCCUUUCUCACAAGAUGCCUUGCUUUUUUAUGCUUCAAUAUAUUAACAAUUUUGGAAAAAAAGCGGUAGGAGAGAUGGGACAAGCUUAUCCUUCAAACUUUGCCAUCAUAGGUUAGCUGGGGGUCUGAGGACAUGGAAUGCAUUGCUGAUAUCCAGCACUAGGGGAAACACACUGAUGGAACUGAUGGAAUUCUUCCAGGAGGGAAGAGACAAGGUGGAGAGCAUCAUUGUUCUCCAUCCAAAUUAAACAUUAUUAUAAUCUUUCAAAAUAUUGGGCUCUACCCCAAACCCAAUAAUAGGGAGGAAGAAUGAGGGCCCCAAAUUAAAUUUCAAAGAGAUUUGAAAGAGAAGGCUGGCAGUGAAAGGAGAGCUUUGUCGUCCAUGAGGCUCUGGACACUACAUCCUACCCCACCAUCCUGGGCAUUGUACCUUGGAGACUGUGUAGGAACAACGAUACCUACACUGAGUAUGGAUUCUCUGGAGGAAUUUGGCAGGAAUGCCCUGGUUGCUGGGCUCCACUGUCCAUUAAAGGACUUAUCACCAAGGUCAGAAUCUGACCUAGAGGAUGCGGUGGCCAUUGGAAUGCAAAUUUGCCCAGAAUCCCUUAUCUCAGGCCCAGCGGGCACCCUGUGCUUCAGCCAUGGCUGAGCCAGAGAGGGGAUUUUUUUUUUUCCAUCCCACAUUAGGUCUAGGGCCCCAGUCAGGGGCACUUGCAUUACUGCCUCCUCCAGACCCAACGGGGGGUCCCCUUAGCUAUGUCACAGCAUAGAAAGAGGUCAGGACUAGAAAAUUCUUAUGGUGUUCAUGGGGGUGGGGGCUGACGUCAGGGAAGAGAAUGAUAAAUGAGAAAUGGGAUGGGGUUGCUUCAAGGAGAUGUGACUACAUUCCCUUGACUCCAUCUCAGUGAAGCAGAUCAACCCUAUUCAUAUAAAAUCCCAAACCUGAAACUGAGUAGUUGGAGCACUGAGGGAGUGAGAGCAGAGUGAAGACUGCCUUUUGGGGCACCACUGUAUUCUCUACACUGGUUUGCCUCAUGGUCCUUUGACAGGGAGACAUUACCUGUGUUAGAGGAAGAGAGAUGUGAGAAGACUCUCGUGGGAU
ensembl:lncRNA